rnacentral:lncRNA from 1 species
CUGCAGUCCCGUUGCUGCCCCGGGUGCUGCAGAGGCCCAGAGCCACUCACCAGGCACCCUCCAGCUCCAGCUCCUCCCGCUCCUCUUGCAGGCGCUGUCUUUCCUGGCGCAGCACCUGGCAGACAAAAGCGUGAGUGCCCAUGCCCGCUGCAGUUGCCCUCCAGGUCCCCACCUGGGGUCAGGCAGCCCCCAUCCCCUCGCCCCUCCACGCUACCUCGAUCUCCUCUGUCUCAGCCUUCAGCUGAUCUUCCAGCUGGGCAAUGAACUGCUUCUCCUGCAAAGACAAUGGCUGUGCCAUGUGGGGUGGCUGCGCUGGGCCCCACGGACCCGAGGGAUGGGGACCAAGGUCCUCCCACAGAGCCAAAGCUGUGAGUGCACUGAGCUCUGAGGACGAGCCCCAGCUCCACCCUACCUGCUCCAGAUCCUCCUUCCUGGCAGCUGUUCUUUCUGCCCGUAUUUGCUGGGCAUCCUGCAGGAAAGGGGAAGGGGAGCGGCCAUCAGGGCACCGACGCUCUCACGAAGCUCCAUCUGACAGCAGCUCCAUGCCACACUCCCCUCCUGCCUCCUCCAUGGAGGAGCUGCAGACCCACACGAGGGGACAUCUGCUCACCUUCAUCAAGGAUUCCCUGGCCUCAGCCUUGCGCUUCUCCACGGCGCGCUCAUGAGCCUGUGGGAGGGGAGAGGAGCAGCGUUGGCACCGAGGUGCUGCCGGCAGCUCUGCAUCCCACCGGAGGUGCCCGGCCCUCUGCUGCCAUGCCAUGGGCAGGCUGCCCUCCAGCCGGCAGCUCCCCCCGCCGGCCCUUCUGUGUCUGUGCACCCAGAGCUCACCAGCAGCUCCUCCUCCACCAGCUUCGCACGCCACACCGCCCUUAAUCUUCUGCUGACACACUGGGCCCGCAUUACUGCACCACUCGCACAGCUCCUCGCUGGACCAGCACCACCCGCAGAAUGGGGCCAGCAGGUUCCGCGCUGACCCACUGCCCCUGCCCCACCCCAGGGCAUCUGUGAGGUCAUCACGUCAUGGUGACAUCACCCGCACAGGAGGGUCCUGGAAGAUCAUAGAACCAUAGGAUGGUCCGUGUUGGAAGGGUCCUGGAAGAUCAUAGAACUGCAGGACGGCGUGGCUUGGGAGGUUCCUUAGUGAUCACAGAACCAUAGAAUGGUUUGUGUUGCAAGAGUCCUGGAAGAUGAUAGAACCACAGGAUGGUGUGGCUUGGAAGGGUCCUGGAAGAUCAUAGAAUCACAGAAUGGUUCUUUGAAACAGCUGUGAAGGAUCUGUGAGCAAAUCCGCCGUCAGUAGUUGGUGCCGCGGGAAGGCCUGAGGUCCGACCUUUCCUCCAACGGCUUCAGUGUAACUUUGGAAAGACAGUGCUCACACCUGGUUUGUUCUAUCUGCCAGGACGUCUGUUCCCUCAGAUGGCAUUUCUGGAGUCGGUUUCCCCAGCUCCGGAAAGAAGGGUUUGUGUUAGGGUUAGGAUUAUCAUUAAGUUUACCAUUACGGUUAGUGCUGGAGUUAGGGCUAUGGUUAGGGCUAGGGUUUGGCUUAGGGUUAGGCUUAGGCUUAGGGCUAUGGAUUGGGUUAGGGUUAGCUGUUGGCUUAGGUUUAGGAUUAGGGAUUGCCUUAGGUUUAGGAUUAGGUGUUGGUUUAGAUGUUGGGCUAGGGUUAGGGUUUGGGUUAGGCGUUGGUUUAGGUCUCCCCGGGGCCCUCUCUUCUCCAAGCUGAACAAGCCCAGUUCCCUCAACCUUUCCUCACAGGAGAGGUGCUCCAGCCCUCUGGCCAUCUUAGUGGCCCUCCUCUGGACCUGCUCCAAGAGCGCCACGUCCUUCCUGUGCUGGGGGCUCCAGGCCUGGACGCGGU